GAUGAACGCUGGCGGCGUGCUUAACACAUGCAAGUCGAACGAUGUAGCCCAGCUUGCUGGGUGGAUUAGUGGCGAACGGGUGAGUAACACGUGAGUAACCUGCCCUUGACUCUGGGAUAAGCGCUGGAAACGGCGUCUAAUACCGGAUACGAGCUUCCACCGCAUGGUGAGUUGCUGGAAAGAAUUUCGGUCAAGGAUGGACUCGCGGCCUAUCAGGUAGUUGGUGAGGUAACGGCUCACCAAGCCGACGACGGGUAGCCGGCCUGAGAGGGUGACCGGCCACACUGGGACUGAGACACGGCCCAGACUCCUACGGGAGGCAGCAGUGGGGAAUAUUGCACAAUGGGCGCAAGCCUGAUGCAGCAACGCCGCGUGAGGGACGAAGGCCUUCGGGUCGUAAACCUCUUUUAGCAGGGAAGAAGCGAAAGUGACGGUACCUGCAGAAAAAGCACCGGCUAACUACGUG
rnacentral:rRNA from 1 species